rnacentral:lncRNA from 1 species
AAUCCUACUUUAAUCGUUUUUAUAAGCGUUGUACUACCUUGAAGACGCAAUCUAAGGCAAGUUUUUUUCUUUUUUAGUGAAACAAAAUGUUUUAUUUUUAUUGUGUUAAUCUGUUCCAAGUAUUUUAAGCACCCUAUAGGGGUUCUCCCAUUGGAGGAAGAAAACUAUAGGGCCACUAACUAAAGUCCUAAACUUGCCAACUCACAUCAAAUAUUCUUAAUAUAAUCAUUAGGACCUCUAAUGGGUCCUAAUGGAUGGAGAUGGUCUAAAGCAUUAAAAAAAUUUAGCCCUUAAAAUAUAACAUUUUUGGAAAAAUGUCAAAACUCUUAUACCUGUGUUUGAACCCGGGGUACUAGAGUACUAAUGAGGACUGUUACCAACUAUGAUGUAGACAAUUUUUACAAUAAAUUUGACCCCUAAAACUAUUUAUCUAAGUUUUGGUUCCAAGCAGGUGCUUGAUUAGCCUCUAGUCAGGCACGGCCCUGGUAAUGGUAUUGAACAUUGAGAAGCAAGAAAAGUAAGGAGCUAGAAGUGAGAAUAAAAGGGGUGAAAUGGAAAGAAAAGAAAAGAAAAGAAAAGAAAAAAGGGUAAGGGUAACUUAUAACUAAAUUAAUUGAUAAAAACUAAAACGAUGUUCAUGUAUUAUGAAAGAGAGUUAAAUAUACAUUAAUAUAAAUAUAGAAUGUGUUUAGAAAUUUUAAAACAACACUAAAGAUCAUAUGCUUCAGUAUAUAGAAC